rnacentral:rRNA from 1 species
CUGGCGGCGCGCCUAACAAUGCAAGUCGCACGAGAAAGUGGAGCAAUCCAUGAGUACAGUGGCGUACGGGUGAGUAACACGUGGAUCAUCUACCUCUUAGUGGGGAAUAACCCUGGGAAACCGGGGCUAAUACCGCAUAAUCUCGGGAGAGGAAAGCAGCAAUGCGCUGAGAGAGGAGUCCGCGGCCGAUUAGCUAGUUGGCAGGGUAAAAGCCUACCAAGGCAAAGAUCGGUAGCCGGCCUGAGAGGGCACAUGGCCACACUGGCACUGAAACACGGGCCAGACUCCUACGGGAGGCAGCAGUGGGGAAUCUUGUACAAUGGGGGAAACCCUGAUGCAGCGACGCCGCGUGAGCGAUGAAGCCCUUCGGGGUGUAAAGCUCUUUCGGCAGGAAGGUUAUGACGGUACCUGCAGAAGCAGCUGCGGCUAACUACGUGCCAGCAGCCGCGGUAAUACGUAGGCAGCAAGCGUUGUUCGGAGUUACUGGGCGUAAAGGGUGUGUAGGCGGUUGCUUAAGUUUGGUGUGAAAUCUCCCGGCUCAACUGGGAGGGUGCGCCGAAUACUGA